rnacentral:rRNA from 2 species
GAGCUUGACUGCGAGACAGACAGGUCGGGCAGGGACGAAAGUCGGGCUUAGUGAUCCGGUGGUUCCGUAUGGAAGGGCCAUCGCUCAACGGAUAAAAGCUACCCUGGGGAUAACAGGCUUAUCUCCCCCAAGAGUCCACAUCGACGGGGAGGUUUGGCACCUCGAUGUCGGCUCAUCGCAUCCUGGGGCUGUAGUCGGUCCCAAGGGUUGGGCUGUUCGCCCAUUAAAGCGGUACGCGAGCUGGGUUCAGAACGUCGUGAGACAGUUCGGUCCCUAUCCGUCGCGGGCGUAGGAAAUUUGAGAGGACCUGUCCUUAGUACGAGAGGACCGGGAUGGACAUACCGCUGGUGUACCAGUUGUUCCGCCAGGAGCACCGCUGGGUAGCUAUGUAUGGACGAGAUAAACGCUGAAAGCAUCUAAGUGUGAAACUCGCCUCGAGAUGAGAUUUCCCAUUUCCUUCGGGAAAGUAAGACCCCUCAGAGAUGAUGAGGUAGAUAGGAUGGAAGUGGAAGUGCCGUGAGGCAUGGAGCGGACCAUUACUAAUCGGUCGAGGACUUAACCAAG